CCUACGGGGGACAGCAGUGGGGAAUAUUGCACAAUGGGGGAAACCCUGAUGCAGCGACGCCGCGUGAGUGAAGAAGUAUUUCGGUAUGUAAAGCUCUAUCAGCAGGGAAGAAAAUGACGGUACCUGACUAAGAAGCCCCGGCUAACUACGUGCCAGCAGCCGCGGUAAUACGUAGGGGGCAAGCGUUAUCCGGAUUUACUGGGUGUAAAGGGAGCGUAGGUGGCAUGGUAAGCCAGAAGUGAAAACCCGGGGCUCAACCCCGCGGAUUGCUUUUGGAACUAUCAGGCGGGAGUGCUGGAGGGGUAAGCGGAAUUCCUAGUGUAGCGGUGAAAUGCGUAGAUAUUAGGAGGAACACCGGUGGCGAAGGCGGCUUACUGGACAGAAACUGACACUGAGGCUCGAAAGCGUGGGGAGCAAACAGGAUUAGAUACCCUAGUAGUC
rnacentral:rRNA from 1 species